CUUCUUGUGUGUAUCCGUUAUUGCAGCGAGUUUUGUAGAGGGACCCGUCUAACAUUACCAUGAAAUAGUUGGUAUUCUUGGUCAGAUUUAUCUGUGGAAAGUGUCACACGUAAUGACCAGCACGUUUGAGCGGUUUUUGCGGCUGUACUGGCGGUAUCUUGGAUUCAUCAGUGGUCGAACUACACCGAUUUCCUCAGCAAUAAUUCUUCCAUAAAGAGCCUCAUUUUUCGUCUUCCCGUGAGUGCCCAACUCGAGGUGUCCCACAGUCCUUUGAUGCAUAACAAGUCCUGAUUGCACCUCUGACUUCAUACACACCACUGAGUUCCCAAAUCAUUCCUCUUUCCAUUUAUGGUGGUGGAUUUUCGUGAUGCUUUCUGUAUCACCCUCAAUAAUACACUAAGGUGGCGUACAGGAACAUGUGCAAACACAUUCUACAUCCCAAGAUAUGUUGCUGGAAGCGUUCAAUAAAUGCUGUUAAGUUUCACCAUCAUACUACUUUUGCUGUGCACUGUUCACUAGACCAGCAGGUCCUGUGAUUGAUAAAGUAGGAACCACGUGACAUGCAAUAGCAGCCAGCUAACAUCUGUGCGAGGUCUGGCCAGUCUGAAUUGUACUCGGUAUAAACAUUCGUUGAGGGAUUUCCAGUUGGAAACAAGAUUCUAACUGGAAAUUAUUCCACGGGAGUGGAGGGGAACGAGCAAGUGGGACCAAUUCAAGUGGUUUCACUUGCUGGAAAUUUUUGCCUCGGAAAGCAAUCAUAUCGAGUAAAAGUCUUAUUUUGUAGCAUAUGGUGCAAUUGCAUGGGUCCAUGCACCUAAAAAUAAAUGCCAUUUGAUAUAUAAAUGUUAUCUGUGGAACUGCUGUGGACAACCUGCUAUGGAUGUGAACUGCUAUGGAUGUUCACUUUUGUGAAAAUGGACGUCCUAUAAAUAUUGUACUAAUAUUGCCAAUAUCAUAUCAAUAUUGUGUGUGGAACUGCUGUGGACAUUCUAUGGAUGUCCACUCUGUUCAAAAUGGACAUCCUCUGAAUAUUUUAUAAAUAUUAAAUUACCUUUUGUGGACAUCCUCUGAAGAUUAAAUAUCUCAUGGUUGAUAUUUAUGGAAUGUCCACUGGAUGUGAGAUGGUUGGCUGGGUGACAUUUUCUA